UGUUAAUGAGGAAAUAUCUGUAUUUC
rnacentral:piRNA from 1 species